rnacentral:misc_RNA from 1 species
CCUAUAAAUUAUUAAAGAAUUAGAAAAUCAGCAAUAAAAUCCAACCUCAACAAAAAUAUUUCACAUCAAAUCAAAUAGAAAAACUAUUAUAUUUUCAGACAACAAUUCAAAUGCGAGUAUACAAAAUGUAAACCAUUUCCUUUGGCUGAAAAAGACCUAGUAGAUGUUUAAGUGAAAUGCCUACUCUAUUAAUGACGUAAAUAGAAACCACAACAAAUCUGAAACUUAUUGAGAAUAAAAAAGUUUAAGCAUGUUGAGUUUUUUAACUUUAGAAAGUUUUGCCCUCUACAAGUGACACGUACUACAUGAUGAUAAAUCCCUACUCAACACAAGCAUUGAUGUAGUUAUCACGCUUUUAUAGUUAAAGCACAGGCACCAACCAUAUGAUGCAUAUCUAUUAUCUAUUGUCUGAAACAGCCAUAUGCGAAUGACCAUUUUUUACCACAUCGAUUUGUUAGUAAAUAUUAGCAACUAAUAAUAUUAACAAGAGGUAUCAUAAACAUAAAUUUCUGCCACAGAAACAAACAUACUUAAGCUAAAAGAGAAGGACUAGCAGGGGGCCUGUAUAAACAAUUAGACAGUUUCCAAAACAGUGGAAGCAUCCAGCACACAUGAUCCAAUGCAAACUAAAAUAGAAAAGGAAUUCAACCAAUAAGCAAAUUUAUAACCACUUGCAAAGUGACAUAGAUGAGAUUUUUCAUGCUAAAUGAGAAUAAAGAAAUUGGUGGAGUAGCUAUCUUACUAGACACGUGUGCUUUCUUGACGGAUGAAUAUCAAUGGAGUGUAUGAUCCCAGAAGUUGUUCCCUGAUCCCUACAGUAAUAACUCCCAUUGGAAAAUCAAUAUACACCUUUCUUGGCAUAAUAAUUAAGAAAUUUGUUAUAUUGCUUAAAUGUAACUAACAGGCAGAAGAAGUAAACCAUUAGUCAUCGCUGUGCUAUCUCAAAUGUGGUAGAAUCACUUAGAGGAUACUGAAUUUCUCAUUCCAAAUGUUAGAUGUUACAAAUUCAAUUUGUUGCUUUGCAUCAAAGCUUCAUCUAGAUAAUUUCAAAUACUUCUGAAAUAUAUGAGACACAGAAAACCUUUUUCUGCUGGUAAAUUAAAUACUCAAAUGCCACCACCGCUUAGUCUCUUCACAAAUGUGUUAACUCAUUCUUUCAUUCACUUUUUUAUCAUUCUAUUUGAAUUGCAGACUCAAAUACAUGAAUGAGUGCUUAAAUUUGUGUCAGUGUUGGUUCCGGUAGCAGCAGUGAAACUGAAAAUUAACUAUCAAAAAGCAGUGAUGGAUGAUCAGUUUUCACAGCAGUAGUGGACUUCAAUAAGGACCUAAGUAGACACAAAUGCUGUCUCAUUCCCAAGUGAUAAACCCUGGAAAAGAAACCUAACCAUAGGCAUAUAGAUAAUUAAAGAAAUAUUGAUUCACCAUUGAUUUUCUCCUAUCUUAUCAGGAAAUAUAACUAUAAAAAAAAAAAAGGAUCCUUCAUGAAAAAAAGUUAACUAAACGACAAUUUGUUCCUCAAUUAUUCCAUAGGCUUUGCCAAAUGAUAUGUGAGCAUCCUACAACACAUUUUUUGCUCAUAUCCUCUUUAUUUUCCCAUAUCCUAUAGUAUGUAGAAAAAUAUUUACCACACCACGUUUCAAAAUUCACACACUAAGCAGGUUAAACAGUUGGGAAACAAAGUACUUCAACUUACAUGUUAGAAAUUGGACUAAGAAUAAUGUUACUUAACAAAAAGAAUGAUCUCGACAUUGCAAAUGUCCUAGAAAACAGCACUUAACGUAAUAUCAAAUCAAGCACAGAAACCACCAUUUUACUAAACAUUGGUCCCCAUCCAAUAAUAUAGAUCAUAAAAUCUUAAGCAAGGCAGCAAGCUAUCCGCUAGAGCAUGAGGCAGACCUACAAGGUAAAUAAUAAUCUAGUUUUCUUGCGAUCUGACAAUCCCACCCUAGAAACACAGCAAAAUACCAGCUACCGGCCAUAGAAAGAGUUAGAGUUUGUUUGACAUUGUAAUUUGAGAUGCUCACCACCUUGAGUAUGUUAAUUAGAGGACAUUAAACAUUGUUAAGUUAAACAGCUAAACAGUUUUGCAAAAUGCAGGUUUGAACCUCAAUUCCAAGCAGGGAUAAGUUCAGCAGCCAGGCAACUUGAGACUGGUAAAAGCUUGGUAUAUUAGCACUCAAUUACAUCACAACAGCCUACAUAGAUUCACUCACCAAUUAUCCUUGAACUGAGCAACAGCAGAACCAGGCCGUCUUAGGUCCCACCAUUGAAGCCCAAAACCACACCCACCGGUCACAAACUCAGUUGGCGAAGCCCACCUCACAGCUGUAUAUGAAACCAAACCAUUCCCAUCAAAAACCCUCCUACAAUUCCCCUUUCCAUGAUAACCUUCAACACCAAUCUUAACCAAAUUCACCCUCCCAUCUUCUCCAACACUCACACAGUCACUCCCGCCCUCCAUUAAAUCCACUCCUCCAAUCGGCCCCACAUGAAAGUCCCUACCCACAACCGAGAUCUGCGGCUCCGCAACCACAGACUCAAGGCUUUUGCCGGCAGUGGAGAAGCAGUGGAGGGAGCCGGAAAAUGUGGAGGCGGCGAUAAGAGAGGGGGUGCACUUGAGGGAGGAGAUGCGGGAAGGCGGGUUCCAGGAGGAGAGUAGAGAUAGGGUUUUUGGGGAGCUUAGAGAGUGAAUUUCGAGGGAAGGAGUGCCGCUGUCGGUAUCGAAGAAAGCGACAGUGAGGUAUUUUUGAAAUGGGGAGAUAGAAGGAAGCCAGCGGAUUGAGUCUACGUAUCUGAACUGGGGCACUCUGUGGAUUUGUGGGGGUUGAGGGAGGCCCGUUAUCGCCAUUGUUAGGGUUUUUGAGGUUUUUCUGUUUCAACUUUCAAAUGAGCGAAGAACACGGUUUGAAAUGAUUU